ACACACACACUGUUAGGCGGUGGUCUCUAUCUUAAGACUCAAACCCUUUGUCUUAUCUUUCUUGCUCUCUGUCCUUCCUCCUCUAUGGUUUUCCUCCCCCCUGCCAUGGUUUGAAUGACAAAGUCCUCUUAGGCUCUGCCAUCUGAACCUCAGCUGGUGGCGGUGGUACAGUUUGGGAGGCUUUAAAAGGUGUGGCCUUGUCAGAGGAAGACACUGGAAGUGGGCUUUGGGAGUGUAAAAACUUUACAAGUUUUCUUUCUUUGUUUUGUGCUUGUUGUUCAAGCUGAAAACUCUCAGCUCCCAGCUCCAGCCAGCUCUGCCACGGGCUUGCCUCUGCUCUGCCACGGGCUUGCCUCUGCUCUGCCAUGGUAGCUCCUUAUGCUUUUAGAACUCAUUGUAGCAGAGGAGACAGAGGAUUUGGGAUGCUGAAGGACUCAUAUGUGGUCACAGAGCCAGUGAGGAAAGACCUGCCUCCAGCCUUCACGUCCUUUCCGCAUUCCUUAGUCUCUUCAUAGAACCUGAAGCUUGUUGUUUGGGCUAGACUUGGCUGGCCAGUGAGCUCACAAGGACCUGCCUAUCCCAGUACCUCGCUGCUGGUGCCAUAGUUCCCACAAGGGGCAGACUGGAUUCUUGCUGCUGUGGCUUGCUGGAGGCUGAGACAUGCAAACAAGCCAGCGCAGCAUCUGUUCAGGAAGAACUUGGUUACAGAACUUGCCUCCUUCAAGAUAUUAGCUUGGCACUUUUCAUCUUCAUCCAUAUGCCUUUGAGGGGAACUGUACCGAGCCAACCUUGAAUAAUAA